rnacentral:rRNA from 1 species
UACGUAGGGGGCAAGCGUUGUCCGGAAUUAUUGGGCGUAAAGAGCGUGUAGGCGGUCCGGUAAGUCGGGUGUGAAAGCCCCGGGCUCAACCUGGGAAUUGCAUUCGAGACUGAAUAGCUAGGGUACGGUAGAGGGAAGUGGAAUUUCCGGUGUAGCGGUGAAAUGCGUAGAUAUCGGAAGGAACAUCAGUGGCGAAAGCGACUUCCUGGACCAGUACCGACGUUCAGGCACGAAAGCGUGGGGAGCAAACAGG